rnacentral:rRNA from 1 species
GUGAGGAAUAUUGCGCAAUGGAGGCAACUCUGACGCAGCCAUGCCGCGUGCAGGAAGAAGGCGCUACGCGUUGUAAACUGCUUUUAACCGGGAAGAAACCCCAGGACGUGUCCUGGGUUGACGGUACCGGAGGAAUAAGCACCGGCUAACUUCGUGCCAACAGCCGCGGUAAUACGAAGGGUGCAAGCGUUAUCCGGAUUCAUUGGGUUUAAAGGGUGCGUAGGCGGAGCGUUAAGUCAGUGGUGAAAUCCUGCAGCUUAACUGUAGACUUGCCAUUGAUACUGGCGCUCUUGAGUGCGCUUGAAGUGGGCGGAAUGUGUCGUGUAGCGGUGAAAUGCUUAGAUAUGGCACAGAACACCAAUUGCGAAGGCAGCUCACUAAGGCGAUACUGACGCUGAGGCACGAAAGCGUGGGGAUCGAACAGGAUUAGAAACCCCAGUAGUCC